rnacentral:pre_miRNA from 1 species
CUUAAGUGUAACUAUAAGUCUAACUUUGAUCGUUUGUCUUAUUUAAAUUUUUUUAUAAUUAGUAUUUUUAUUGUUAUCAUAUGAUAAAGCAUGAAUAAUUCUUUAUACAUGACUUAUGUUUUUUUUUCAAAUUUUUUUAAAUAACACGUCCAAUUAAAGUUGUGCACGAAAAAUUAUGGCUACUAUUAAA